rnacentral:rRNA from 1 species
CCUACGGGAGGCAGCAGUGGGGAAUAUUGGGCAAUGGGCGCAAGCCUGACCCAGCAACGCAGCGUGAAGGAAGAAGGCUUUCGGGUUGUAAACUUCUUUUUUCAGGGACGUAGAAAGUGACGGUACCUGAGGAAUACGCCACGGCUAACUACGUGCAAGCAGCCGCGGCAAUACGUAGGUGGCAAGCGUUCUCCGGAUUUAUUGGGUGUAAAGGGCGAGUAGGCGGGAGGGCAAGUCAGAUGUGAAAACUCAGGGCUCAACCCUGAGCCUGCAUUUGAAACUGUGUUGCUUGAGUGCUGGAGAGGCAAGCGGAAUGCCGUGUGUAGCGGUGAAAUGCGUAGAUAUACGGAGGAACACCAGUGGCGAAGGCGGAUUGCUGGACAGGAACUGACGCUGAGGCGCGAAAGCGUGGGGAGCAAACAGGAUUAGAUACCCUGGUAGUC